UCCUGUCACCAGCUCGAAGGAGGUCAGGGAAUGCACUUGCUCAUUCGGAGAAUGACACGAAAACAGAAUCCGACCAUCUUCUCACGCGGUUCGAGCAACUCCAUAGACAAUCCUAACUACGCGAUGCCGCACGCUACCCGACCACCUGAGCAUACGUUCGAAGCUGGCUGCUGACUUUGGUUAAAAAUGAUGCCGGCAGGAUAACUGAAGGAGAAUGAAAUAGCAUAGGCGAUAGCGGCCUAUUCUUCCAGGAAUCAACAAGCGAGGAGCCUCGCAUCAACCAGUGGUCGGGAAAUCUCUCAUGCGAGAACAAAGCUAUUAAUCACCACUGGGAGUUUAAUUUGUUUCUGCUUUGGAAGGCAUUUGAUCGGGAAAUUAAUUCGGGUCUCCGGUCAAUUAUGGCCAUCAGGUCGGGAGGUGAUUAGCACAUGGGUGAUUGGGAUCAAGCAUGGUCGUUUAACUCUUGACGUGCAUAAUUGUAUAAUCCAGCCGAUUUCCAGGAUAACCGACUACAUCGUCGAGAAAUCAGUCCGCAGUUGCCGGGGAGCUCGAAAGCAAUUGCGCGCUCAUUUGGUGAGGUCGGAAAGAUACGGAGAGUAGACUUAUACCUGGUCGGUCGCUCUUCUCAACUCGUAAUCUUCCUUACGAUCGGGAACAAGGAGGCCGAAGAUGAAUUAGCCCGUCAAAAAAUGGGACCUGCUUAAUACUGGCAUCAUUUCGCGUGAUGAUCGACUGCUUCGAAACCUGAUCGGAGCCGAGCAUCAAGCAAUUUUUAAUCCCCAAGGCUGCCAACCAUCGACAUAUUUUAAAGAGAAAAAAACCCAGAGAUGGCCUGUUGAGGUUGCCAAGUGCCCGGUCAGUGAAUCCCGGAUCAACGUAACCGGUGCGAUUGGAGACAUGCUCAGAGGUGGUUCUGGAAGUCUGCUCGGAAUCAUCAUGGUCGGCUGAUGCUAAAAAUUCUGAGCAAGAUCCCGGUCGAGAGUUGAAAAAGUUUAACAUGGGGCUUUUGAGAAUAGGUUUAGGAUGCUGUUCAGGCUCGCCAUGGAUCAAGAUGCACGGAGUAUGCUUUAGGCUUAGCAUGCCGGCACAUCUAAUCUCGUUUGACUGUACUCAUUAAGCAACUGAGAAUAUCAAACUGUUGGAAAACUACAAUACGAGCUCUUGCCAACCUCAAAUCUCAUGAUGCGGUCGGAGCUCGGGAGUUUGCCGUUGUCGGAUGCUCGGGAAAAUACUGACCAGGGGGAGAGAUCUUGGGCUGGCAGAUUUAGCUGAGAUUUUCCUGUCACCUCAUCCCUUCAACGAACAUUUAUCAGCCCGGGGAAGAAUGACCCAUGCUUCAAAAAUUUAGCUUAUAGCUAUUGUGUACUCUGCCACAGUUUCUCUGAUCCCGCGUGCUCCAAUUCGCUGCUCAAGAGAGAGUUGGCGGUGGACUCCUCAAGGUUACGCGUCUCUGGUGGCCGGUGAGGAUAGCAAUAAAGAGCUCUUCGACCUGAGGGAUACCCUCACCCGAUCAUCGCCGAACAUCAUACAUAUAGUCACAGUCAUCAUCCGCUGCUGUUGCUGCAACGGAGAGUUACAAUGAUGAAUGUGAUCGGCGAGUCGGCUCCUGAACCAUUUAGAGACGGUGGAACCGUGCAGCCAGGCUCGUAUAACUUGCAUUGCUUAGAAUUGAUCAUCGGCUCGGAGGUCGGGAGAGGUCGAGCAACUCUGAAUGUCGUGGGUGGCACACAGGAACCGCCGGUGUUGUUAAUGCCUCGAUCACUCUUAUGCCAGCACGUACUGUUUGAGCCGGUAGGAGAGACCAAAUAGACGUACUCCCGGAAGUCGCGAAGUCUGAACAGCGGAGUUGGAUGGUUCUGCCGGUCACGCGAUCAAGGGCUUGCAUUGCUGUGCCACAAGCAGAUGAUCGGCAUCAGUGGUCGGAGCGUCGCUGGGAAGCUAUUGGAAAACUCGGAAAAGUUUAAAUAAUUAAGUUGGAUCGCUCAAUCUGGUUACCGGAUGUUUGGAGAUGCCAGCUGAUCGUAAUGGAGCAUUUUUUCCUUCCAACGAAAUUGCACAACUUAUCCAGCUUCAGGUUAUUCUCUGGCUGCGACUACAGUAAUGACUAGAAAACCAUCUACUCUACUCGGGACGGAUUGACCGGGAAACAAAAUUGCCCGCUAGCUAAAACUCAGGAAGCUUGAAUAAUUUAAGCUUAAUACAUGCUUCAACUCUCAAGUAUGGGUGGCAUGUAAUGACAAUGUUCCAGCCCUUGCAUGCAUGAAUUUCAUUUUCUACUGGAUCACCCACACCCACACCCCCUGCCUCCAACGAGAUGAGAAGGGAGAGGAAAUCAGACCAUUCUGAUGGAACUUCUCAGCGAUCAAGCUCAUGAAGUGGCGAAAAAGAUGAUUGGAGGGGUGAAUAAUUUGCUUGAAAUUAACAUUUUGGAAGCAGAUUAUUGGUGAGGAACAAAGAAGACUACGAGGAAGAGUCAUCUAGGACCGAGGAAAGCGCGGCGGAGGCGGUGGUCGACCCCUACUGGUAAUUCGCCUUUGGCGAUGAUGAAGGUUUGCCGGAAAUCGAGUGAGAGGCAGCGAUGCAUGACGGAGAUCACCUUACCUGCGGGCAAUGGAGUCCCCACCAGAUAGCAUGCAAGUGACUGAUUCUUUUAUACAUGGUAUCCAGUAUACACGAAGAACAGGGGAACGCCAUUGACGAUGCAGAGGUGAGACAGGUAACUCCGGAACUACUCUCGAUUCUCCUCUUCUCCAAAUUCAGCUUCUCCAUUUUGACGGUUGAGGAACACAGCUUUCUGAUCGUAUUCCCACAGACGGCGCCAUUUGAUAAGGAAAAAAUCCCUAUAUACUCUGUGUGUAUAAUGAUGUAUGUAGAGGUAGAUCAAACAAAGAAUUUAGCCCCCAAAUUCCAUCCUUUAUUCAUUGUUCUUCAAUAAAAUGUAGAGGGGAGGGAGAGCAUAUUUGGUGUUGUAGAGAGAGAGAGUCCCGGGAGGCCCAAAGUCCUUUCACUGAAGGGUUUAUGUCCCUUUUAUAGGCGUAGUCUCGAACUCGUAUACGGUCUACGUACCAAAUACUCAGGGUCGUAUACGCGUAGUAUAUUCCCUAUCAGAAAGCUUUAUUUUCCUUCCUAGAUCUUGAAUCUAAGUAUAGUUUCUUAAUAA